rnacentral:lncRNA from 1 species
GGUAUUACCGUCAUGAUACACAAUCUCCCCCUCGCCACAAGGAGCGCCUCUUUCGAAACAUUAAGUUGGAUGCCCCUACAUUUGACGGUUGUCUAGAUCCUAGUGCAUUCAAUCAAUGGGUUAGAGAUAUGGAUCGCUUCUUUGCAUGGUAUGGGGUCCCGGAAGAUCGGAGGGUACAAUUUGCCAGUUUGAAGUUAACUGGCACUGCUCAACUCUUUUGGAAGAGUGUUGAGGACCUCCUUGAAAGGCGUCAUGCUCCCCCUGUUGGGAGUUGGGAUGAAAUGAAGCGUCGCCUUCAAGAAAAAUAUUUACCCCAAUCUUAUAGGGGUAACUUACUGGAUCAAUGGAACGCACUUACACAAGGCAAUCGACCUGUGACCGAAUAUGUUGCUCAGUUUGAUGAGUUUCGAAUGAAAUGUCAGGUUGUUGAGGAUGAAGUUAUGACUUUGAGUAGGUUUCGACAAGGCUUAAGAGAUGAACUUAGGCGCGAGCUUGUCCUUAGGGGUGUCACCACUCUCGACCACGCUUACUCCUUCGUUCGGGAUUAUGAAUUAGUGACUAGGACGCCGUAUAGAAAUCGUAGUGACUCCCGCACUACACCCUCAUCUGCAUCCACGCCAUCCCCUAAGUCUAUUCUAGGUCCUCCUCCCUCUCAUACUAUCCCUGCAUCGGAUAGCAAAGGUAGAGGUCCUGAGGUUUCAAGGACAUCCUCCCGUUUGCAAUGCUUCAACUGUAAGGGCUUUGGUCACAUUGCUUCUAAGUGCCCUAGCCGAGCCCUAGUUCUGGACGAACGUGAGGAUAUAGUCGACGAACCACUAGAGGAUCAGGUUUAUGAGCCUAAGUUAGAAGAGUUUGAAGACUUAGAGGACAGUGAGGAUACCUUCUUAGGUUGUAUUCAGGCUAGUCCCAUUAUUCCCCAUACACCCAGAGUCGGUGUCGUCCGUUGCACCCUCACCCAGCCUAAGGAUGCCGACGAUUGGCGCCGUCAUGCCAUCUUCCACACCUACAUCAAGAUUAAUAACAAGGGCUGUAAAGUUAUCGUGGAUAGUGGCAGCUGUAUUAAUGCGGUUUCGAAGGCUACUAUAUCCCGUCUAGGGUUGAAGCCAGUUCCUCACCCCCA